rnacentral:misc_RNA from 1 species
AACGCACAUUGCGCCCGCCAGUAUCCUGGCGGGCAUGCCUGUUCGAGCGUCAUUUCCACCCUCAGGCUCCGCCUGGUGUUGGGGGCCUGCGCCCUGCAGCCCCUGAAAGACAGCGGCGGUCCCGACCCCGGCUCCGAGCGCAGUAAUGCACGUCGCUUCGGGCGCUGGGCGGGCACCAGCCGCAAGCCUUCUCUUCUAAGGUUGACCUCGGAUCAGGUAGGAAUACCCGCUGAACUUAA